rnacentral:lncRNA from 1 species
CUCCCUGCCGGAGGAACAAGCAUCUCAACUGAGACGUGCCCCAGUCACCACCCAUGUUCCCAAGUCAGCACCUUGACCUGGUUUCCACAUCUCCAUCACUAGCACGGAACUCUUGUUGGGGUCAUAAAGCUUACUUAUUUUGCUUUUGUCUUACUUCUUACCUAUGUUUCAGAGUUCAGAAAGAACAUUUAACUAAGAUGAAAACUGUAUUGUACAGACACUUUGACCUUGAUGACAUGAGUCACAUUUUACAACAAAAUGCAGAUGCCUUAUAAUUCUAGUGCAUAAGGGCUUCCAAGACCAUCAAGCAGUUCUCAAACUUCAGUGUGCAAAAGACUGACUGAGGGUGUGCAUCCCUGGAUAGCAGUGAGCCCUUCAGUGACCUCUGCCCUGGGUCAACCGACAUUCGUUCCCAUUUUAAAGAGGGACAGAGGACAGAGAGGAAAGAUCACCUGCUUCAGGUGACACACCAGGAGCCCCCAUCUGAGUACAGACUGACCGUCACCCACCUACAAUAAACUACAUCUCUGAGCAAAACACCAGCUGGGCUGGCAGGUCAGAAGGCAGCUUCCCCAGGUCACUACCCGCCAGGAAGCACCCAGCGACCCACGCACCACUCACUUUGUCGCCCCUCCGCUGCCCUCGUCGUUGUCGGAAGAU